UCCUGAGCGCCUGCCCCCUACAGCCGGCCGGCGGAGAGCCCCGCCCCGCCAUCCCAGGUCCGAGACCCCUUUCCGUUCUCGCGAUGGGAAAAGUUGGCGCCGGGGGCGGCUCCUCAGCCGGGCUGAGCGCGCUCCUCGCGGGCGCGGGGUUCACGAUUCUUCAGAUACCGGGUACCUGUGGCGGCGGCUCCUGCUGGUUCCUGUGGUACCAGAGUCCCGACCCCGGGGAUCCCCUCACCCGUCGCCGCGAGGACGGGCUCCUACCAUCCCGUUCCCUUCCCGAGCGGGGCGCCAUGAGCAGGAGCAGAUGGAGCGGCAGUAGCCGCCCCUGGGGACUUCGGGCAGCCGGAGCGUAGGCUCCGGAGCAAGGAGAAGAGAAGCCGCAGACGUCAGGGAUGGAGGCGCGGAGGCUGACAGCCAGCCUGGGAGCGGUGGCAGGGGCUCCACCACACAAAGGCUGCUCCCUUGUCCUGACCGCCCCAGCCGAUAUUUGCUGAGCACCUAAUUUGUUCCAGGCACUGAUCAAAAGGUGUGUGUGAAGUGGUACAAAAAGUUAUGAACAUUCCUAUGAGGCAGUAGAAGAUCCCUGUCGUCUGAUGGCAAAACUGCUGAAGAAGUAAAGAGCGGCAACAACAGCAAUAACAACUACAGUCGGGGGCCAAACUGCCAGAAACCAAGGAUGAGAAAGACUACCCCCCUCCUUGCCCAGUCCUCUUCUGUGCCUCGGGGUUUUCUCUGGCAGGAAUGCUUCACUUAUUUCCUCAAGAGCUGCAGAGCUGGGAGCACAGCAGUUUUCCUAGAACCAGAGGCAGUAGGCAUCUGCUUCCCUUGCAGCUCAUGUUCUCACUCAGCAACCAAGCAUGUCUUUAUCCCAGCGGAAGUUCAGACGGCCUUUCCCUUCCUGUCUCAGCAGCUCCUGCCCCAGCCUCAGACCCAGUCAUGACAAGUAUGGCUGCUGCGUGGAGCAUGUCUUCUGAGCCCCUCAGAAAAUUCAGAGAGCCUCUCAGAGAAUAAAGCUUUGGAUUGGACUGUGGCUUCGGCCAUGACUCUUCUUCCUAGCAAACUGUGGUGCUGGAUGAAACGAGAUGCAAACUGUAAUCCAGUCACAAAGGCCAAAGGUUGAGGAAGAAAUUGCCGUUUCUCCUUCCUGCUUGCAACUCAAGAGUCUGUCUCCCGAAUCCUUGUUAGAGUUAUUGGUAUCCUGGCUUUAUACAUAUACCCUGGUAUUUGAGUGCAUAUACUGGUGCUCACAGCAUUGGUUUGAAGUUAGUGGUUCUGUCACCGCUCUAGCUGUAUGACUUGGACAUUCAGUUAAUCUCUAUGAGUCUCAGCCUUCUCACCGGUAUGAUGGGAGUAGUCAUGUCUGUCCUGCUUACCUGGUCAAAUAAAAUCUCAACUUUGGAAGUUUGAAACCUUAGGGUCCCAUACCUGGGUAGGAAGCUUGCCUGUUAUUUAACACAGCUUUUGUCUGCUGCAGGUGACCAUCCCCUCACCAGCCUCCUGCACAGAUGAUCCUCCAGCUUCAGACUGAGGUCUGACUGGUGGGGGAGCUGCCCUCCUCAGGAGCUCUGACUGUGAGAAAGUUGUGCCAGGCUGAAAUAUGAACCCUCCAAUAACUUUUACUUGCUGGUUUCUGUUUCAUCUCUGGAUCCAACAGUACAUUUAAUCUCAAAGUCUUCUGUAUAUUGAAGACUACUGUAAAUAAAUACAGUCAAUUUUUUAAAACUGGGUAUCAAGUCAUUUUUUCAGUUCUUUGCCUGCUCUGCCCUUGAGAUUCUGAUCUGGAUUGACUACGUGGAACAGAACAUGGUGCCCGGUGUUCCUGAACAUUCUCAAGGGUCCUUGUGGCAUCGGUUAUAAAAUUUUUCCUGAUGAUCCCUAGAAGAAAGUGUGAUUAUUACUAAUGAUAGGUGUCCCCACACAUAGUGGGUCUACUCAAAUCCUAGAGCCAUAAUUGUAAAAGCAGGUUUCUUAACAUGUUUUAAAUUAUUUUAACUUGGAAAUAAUUUCCCUCUCUAUUACCUUGGAUUAUUUUUUAUUCUGAAAAAUAAUAAAGAUUAAUUAAAUUUAAUAAAAGACCUAGAAAAAAUAUCUAAAGAAUAAAAUGAAAGUUAUUUGUAACCCAUCUAUUUGUAAAAAAAAAUAAAAUAUUUUUAUACCUUACACCUUGGUCAUGUUUCCACAUAUAUGAUUGUAUAUCUAUGUGUAAUUGUUGAAAUUAUGUAACAUGUGGUUAUGUGGCUCUGCACUUUGUUUUGCUGUCUUAUUGAACAUUGUAUUGUCUUUCCC